GAAUAAGAAUAAGGGAAAGUUUAAACAUAACUCAACAAAACGCAUUUAUGGCGCCCAUUAAAAAAUUAUUUUCUCAUAUUCCCUCAUUCAACCACUAUAAACAAAAUAAAUCUGAGAAUUGCAUAUGCGAUAAAAUAUAUGUAUAAUGCCGUAAUAACGAUCUCAAUGAUUUCAGUUAGUUGUGAAUAUCUUAUAUAAAAAACAAAUAAAAACAUGGAGAAAGUUUGUUACUGCCUGGGUUGCGAAUGUCAAAAAUUGCAAUCCCCCAAAAGCAAAUUAAGAAAAAACAUUGAAGCAAUAUGUAUUCCAGAUUUUAGCCUAUACAAAGUUUAAUACGCGUAUGACAAGAUGACGGCGAUGUAUAGAAGACAAAGACGAAGGUCAUGGCGAUAGCAACAACGUAAUAAAUGGCGACAAAGCACCAAUUGCAGGACUUUUGAACUGAGCUUCACUAGCUUUCACAUUUGUUUUCCUAAGUUUCUUACCUUGGAAUACUCCGAUUUUUUAAAUGGCAAGUGCUACUGGUUUUCGUCGUCGCCUUUCCUCACACUAAUUACUUUUACGACGCCUCAAAAACCUAUAUUUUGUAUUUUUCAUCUAACAAAAAUUCCAGCUGUGGAUAUCUGUCUACUUAUGAUUAACCGUUCUACUCACUUUAUCAUUUUCUAUGUUUCUCCAGCUGUACGUAUAAUUCAGCUAUUCAGCGCGAUUUCAGAAUGCUUAAGUGUGCCAUAAACAACGAAAUUUACAGGUGUGACAAUUAAAGUAAUAAUAACAUAUUUCAUACAUUAUAUAUUAGUGCAAUAUCAAGCAAAUAAGUAGUUAGUGGUGAGCUAGUUAAUAUAAAUGUUAUUCACAUUCUCUCAUUCAAUACAUAACAACACGAAAAAGAAUAAUUCGGUGAAGAAGUUAACAAUACAAGGAAUUCAUUCUGAAUAAAAAAUGUCAGUUUAAAAUAAAGUAGUUUCCAAAAAAAAAGUCAACCCCACUUUAAAAAAAAACGUUGCGACCACACUGCCAAGAGCAUUGUACAUUUUAAAGA